rnacentral:rRNA from 1 species
CCCAUAACUACGGGAUAACCCGUUGAAAGACGGCCUAAUACCGUAUGAUAUCGUUUGCUGACAUCAAAUAAACGAUUAAAGGUUUAGCGGUUAUGGAUGGGGAUGCGUCUGAUUAGCUUGUUGGCGGGGUAACGGCCCACCAAGGCUACGAUCAGUAGGGGUUCUGAGAGGAAGGUCCCCACAUUGGAACUGAGACACGGUCUAAACUCCUACGGGAGGCAGCAGUGAGGAAUAUUGGUCAGUGGGCGAGAGCCUGAACCAGCCAAGUAGCGUGCAGGAAGACGGCCCUAUGGGUUGUAAACUGCUUUUAUGUGGGGAUAAAGUGCGUGACGUGUCAUGCAUUGCAGGUACCACAUGAAUAAGGACCGGCUAAUUCCGUGCCAGCAGCCGCGGUAAAU